GAUGAACGCUGGCGGCGUGCCUAAUACAUGCAAGUCGAGCGAACAGACGAGGAGCUUGCUCCUCUGACGUUAGCGGCGGACGGGUGAGUAACACGUGGAUAACCUACCUAUAAGACUGGGAUAACUUCGGGAAACCGGAGCUAAUACCGGAUAAUAUAUUGAACCGCAUGGUUCAAUAGUGAAAGACGGUUUUGCUGUCACUUAUAGCUGGAUCCGCUCCGCAUUAGCUAGUUGGUAAGGUAACGGCUUACCAAGGCAACGAUGCGUAGCCGACCUGAGAGGGUGAGCGGCCACACUGGAACUGAGACACGGUCCAGACUCCUACGGGAGGCAGCAGUAGGGAAUCUUCCGCAAUAGGCGAAAGCCUGACGGAGCAACGCCGCGUGAGUGAUGAAGGUCUUCGGAUCGUAAAGCUCUGUUAUUAGGGAAGAACAAAUGUGUAAGUAACUAUGCACGUCUUGACGGUACCUAAUCAGAAAGCCACGGCUAACUACGUG
rnacentral:rRNA from 1 species